GCUUCCGUGGCCUAAUGGUUAGGGCGUGUGACUACGAAUCAUAAGAUUGCGGGUUCGAAUCCCGCCGGAGGCU